AAUUGUGCUGAAAACAUCACUGACAAGAAAAUGAAAAUAUUGUCAGUUCUUGAUUUCUAAGAAUAAUACCAAAGUCAACGUCCUUACAUUACUCAAAAUCACGAUGAAUCUAAGAACAUAAAAAACAUACGCAUUAAAAAAUGGGAGAACAAUGUUUUUUCCCGGUGUGCAUUUUAAGUAUUGGAUGUUUGGCAACACAUCAGAGAAGCACAUUUUGUAAACAAAUUGACAAAGUUUCGUUGUAUGAUGCCGACCGGCAUAAACUUAAUUUAUGUACAAACUUUUUAAAUAAAUUCUUUAUUUAUUGUGAAGAAACUGUAGCUGCUCUGAUUCCACUAAAACUGAAAUGGCUUCUGUUUCUGCGCGUCUUUCAAUUAUUGGAGAAACAUCAUCCUGUGAACCUGAUCAAGAUGCUAAUUCUGCUCUUACAGAACUUGACAAAGCACCUGUUUUUUUAAAUGUCAAGUUGGUGCCAGGAUUAUCGCCAAGUUCAUGCUUACUUCAUAUAAUUUGGCAUGUUUCCAUGAUUGAUUAGCAUGACAUCUGAAGCAUUGCUUCUCGCAAGAACUUUCACCACAUGAACUGGGCAAGUAUCGUGGUGAACGUAUGUAACAUCCUCACAGCAAGCUAAGAUGCAUGAUGUCGAACCAUACCUCACUGAUUUGGAGCGCAACAAUAUUUCAUCAUUUUGUGAAUGAACAGUUGUUGUUGAAUCAAAAUGAAAUCUAUAGUUAAUUAAAAUGUCUGUAACCUGCUUUUUCAACUCUUCUGUUUUAUGUGUUUACCAACAGUCUGAAUAAAUUGUAAAUCUUUGUUGUAGAUGGAUGACGAUUUUUGCUGUGAGUGUAGUUGCUUCUCUAAUUGGACAGUAAAAUAUUCACCACUUUCUUGGCAUAACCUACCAAAUUGCUGUUCAACAGCAGAUUUUUUUAUUAAUCUUAUUGCAAAUAUUUUUUUCACUGUUAAAUAAUAUAUUAUUGCAGUUUAAAAGGCAUUAAAGAAUAAUAUAUAUA
rnacentral:misc_RNA from 1 species